AAUAUUGCACAAUGGGCGAAAGCCUGAUGCAGCUACGCCGCGUGAGUGAUGAAUGCCUUCGGGUCGUAAAGCUCUUUUAUCAGGGAGGAUAAUGACAGUACCUGAAUAACAAGCCACGGCUAACUACGUGCCAGGAGCCGCGGUAAUACGUAGUUGGCGAGCGUUGUCCGGAAUUACUGGGAGUAAAGGAUGCGUAGGUGGAUACUUAAGUGGGGUGUGGAAUCCCCGGGCUCAAACCGGGAACUGCAUUCCAAACUGGGUAUCUAGAGUGCAGGAGAGGAAAGCGGAAUUCCUAGUGUAGCGGUGAAAUGCGUAGAUAUUAGGAGGAACACCAGUGGCGAAGGCGGCUUUCUGGACUGUAACUGACACUGAGGCAUGAAAGCGUGGGUAGCAAACAGG
rnacentral:rRNA from 1 species